UUCCAGGACUAAUUAAAAGAAGAACCAAUGAGAUCAGACAUAAGGAGGGAAACUUAAGAAAAAAGAAAGAAGAAACAAGUCUUUUCCAAACUCUAUCAACCAGUGGCCAAAGAUAUGGAAGUUAAAGGAAGAGAAGAAAAGUAAGCUUAAGAAAAUCGAACGCUGAGAGGCCUGUGAACUUAUCACAUCAGUGUGCAGCCUGGACAACUGACAGACCCAACACCAAACGCUGUGGUUCCUUUUGCAGUCGUCUGUAAUUCUCCAACUCUGAGCAACAGGUUUAGUCUCUCUGAACCCAGCUCCAGAGGAAACACUCAAUACACAAGUAUAACUUAAUUGGCAAUGUAGAUGCGGACAUUGAGGAAGGCUGGGUAGCCAGGAAUUGUAUACAAAGAGCCUACAGCUACUAAUGUAUAAUCUUGUAACAAAACUGCACCAUCA